UGAGCAAUCUGCCCUUCUCAUCGGAAUAAGCGUUGGAAACGACGUCUAAUGCCGAAUACGACCUCCUUUCGCAUGAUCGGAGGUGGAAAGCUCCGGCGGAGAAGGAUGAGCUCGCGGCCUAUCAGCUAGUUGGUGUGGGUAAUGGCCCACCAAAGCGACGACGGGUAGCCGGCCUGGAGGUAGGGUCGGACCCGGCCAACACGGUGGGACUGGACGACCGACCGGCCCAAGUACCCUCCGGUAACGGGAGC
rnacentral:rRNA from 1 species